rnacentral:misc_RNA from 1 species
GGAGCAAGUAAAUGUCAUUUCAAGAGAACCUGUGGACUUCAGGUAUUGAAUACGUUUAUGAUGUACCUGGUUUGUAUUAUCUGGAUAGGGGCAUUUGUUAGUCUCUUUGGAUGUUUUGUUUUAAUUGUGUUUUGAAGGUUGUGUUGUAUACCGGCUGGUUAUAGGCUGACGUUAGUUAGUAAAUCGGUUAGCUUGUACUUAAAAGCCUA